CUGCUAUGGUCCACCCACCAACAUCUUUCAAAGGCAAAAAUGGCAUUUUCAUAUAUAGUUUAAUAAUUCUAGUGCUCAAUUUUGUUUUCACAUCUUGUUUGCAGAAAAAGAUUUCACACCAUCCAAAGGCAAUAGUAUCCAAACUACCACAAAAAUUUAAUUGAAAAAAUAGUGUAAGAUAAAAAGAAAGAAUAGUGGCAUCACACACCUAAGAAUCCCAGUGGCAUGUUCUCUUUGGACCUUGUAGGCAAAUGGCUGAAAGAGUGACAACUAUUAAAUUCCUCCAAAUCUUCAUAGCUAGCUCCCUUCCCUGUCUUUCUUUUUGGCAAUCAAACAACAUAUAGGUUAGUUAAGUUAUGGUCUGAAAGAGUUGUACACAUCAAACAAAGCUAGAGUAUCCCAAACGUUGUCUACCAAAAUUAAGCAUGAUUACAAGAUAAAACAAAGACCCAAAAUCUGUGUUGGCUCAAUCAAUGUCCACAAGAGACCAAGACCCAGACCCUGUGUUGGCUGGAUCAUUGCCUACCUCAAAAACCCAUUACCAUUUGCAGUCUCUAUGGGCAAUCUUGAAAUUUGCCAAGUGAGUAAAGGGUAAGUUAAUGGUGGGAAUGAG
rnacentral:misc_RNA from 1 species